rfam:Asian citrus Psyllid, Diaphorina citri - Florida Strain, whole genome shotgun sequence.
UGCGGCGGCGAUAGCACGUUGAACGUAUCAGCUCCAGAUGGAUCACGCAAGUUAAGCAACAUUACGCGUGGUUGGUAUCCGGACGGGUGACCAUCUGGACAAUCGCGUGCUGGCUUUU